rnacentral:rRNA from 1 species
GACGAACGCUGGCGGCGUGCUUAACACAUGCAAGUCGAACGGAAAGGCCCUGCUUUUGUGGGGUGCUCGAGUGGCGAACGGGUGAGUAACACGUGAGUAACCUGCCCUUGACUUUGGGAUAACUUCAGGAAACUGGGGCUAAUACCGGAUAGGAGCUCCUGCUGCAUGGUGGGGGUUGGAAAGUUUCGGCGGUUGGGGAUGGACUCGCGGCUUAUCAGCUUGUUGGUGGGGUAGUGGCUUACCAAGGCUUUGACGGGUAGCCGGCCUGAGAGGGUGACCGGCCACAUUGGGACUGAGAUACGGCCCAGACUGCUACGGGAGGCAGCAGUGGGGAAUAUUGCACAAUGGGCGGAAGCCUGAUGCGGCAACGCCGCGUGCGGGAUGACGGCCUUCGGGUUGUAAACCGCUUUCGCCUGUGACGAAGCGUGAGUGACGGUAAUGGGUAAAGAAGCACCGGCUAACUACGUG